rnacentral:rRNA from 1 species
AAGCCUGAUGCAGCGACGCCGCGUGAGGGAUGAAGGCCUUCGGGUUGUAAACCUCUUUCAGCAGGGAAGAAGCGCAAGUGACGGUACCUGCAGAAGAAGCGCCGGCUAACUACGUGCCAGCAGCCGCGGUAAUACGUAGGGCGCAAGCGUUGUCCGGAAUUAUUGGGCGUAAAGAGCUCGUAGGCGGUCUGUCGCGUCUGGUGUGAAAACCCAUGGCUCAACCAUGGGCUUGCAUCGGGUACGGGCAGACUAGAGUGCGGUAGGGGAGACUGGAAUUCCUGGUGUAGCGGUGGAAUGCGCAGAUAUCAGGAGGAACACCGAUGGCGAAGGCAGGUCUCUGGGCCGCAACUGACGCUGAGGAGCGAAAGCAUGGGGAGCGAACAGGAUUAGAUACCCUGGUAGUCCAUGCCGUAAACGUUGGGCACUAGGUGUGGGGCUCAUUCCACGAGUUCCGUGCCGCAGCAAACGCAUUAAGUGCCCCGCCUGGGGAGUACGGCCGCAAGGCUAAAACUCAAAGGAAUUGACGGGGGCCCGCACAAGCGGCGGAGCAUGCGGAUUAAUUCGAUGCAACGCGAAGAACCUUACCAAGGCUUGACAUGCACGGGAAGCCACCAGAGAUGGUGGUCUCUUUGGACACUCGUGCACAGGUGGUGCAUGGUUGUCGUCAGCUCGUGUCGUGAGAUGUUGGGUUAAGUCCCGCAACGAGCGCAACCCUCGUCCCAUGUUGCCAGCGGGUUAUGCCGGGGACUCAUGGGAGACUGCCGGGGUCAACUCGGAGGAAGGUGGGGAUGACGUCAAAUCAUCAUGCCCCUUAUGUCUUGGGCUUCACGCAUGCUACAAUGGCCGGUACAAAGGGCUGCGAUACCGUAAGGUGGAGCGAAUCCCAAAAAGCCGGUCUCAGUUCGGAUUGGGGUCUGCAACUCGACCCCAUGAAGUCGGAGUCGCUAGUAAUCGCAGAUCAGCAACGCUGCGGUGAAUACGUUCCCGGGCCUUGUACACACCGCCCGUCAAGUCACGAAAGUCGGUAACACCCGAAGCC